AUACCGGAUGUGGCCACCCUGCGAUUGCAGGGGAAGCUAAAGGAUUUAUUCACUUCCCGAGGGGCUCGCGGUCCAUCAGCUUGUUGGUGAGGGUAACGGCCCACCAAGGCGACAACGGGUAGCUGGUCUGAGAGGAUGGUCAGCCACACUGGAACUGAGACACGGUCCAGACACCUACGGGUGGCAGCAGUCGAGAAUCAUUCGCAAUGGGGGAAACCCUGACGAUGCGACGCCGCGUGGAGGAUGAAGGCCUUAGGGUUGUAAACUCCUGUCAAGAGGGAAUAAGCAAGUGAAGGUACCUCUAGAGGAAGGGGCGGCUAAUUCCGUGCCAGCAGCCGCGGUAACACGGAAGCCCCGAGCGUUGUUCGGAUUCAUUGGGCGUAAAGGGUGCGUAGGCGGCGCGGAAAGUCCGGCGUGAAAGGCAGAGGCUCAACCUCUGGACUGCGUUGGAUACUUCCGUGCUUGAGGACUGGAGGGGAGACUGGAAUUCACGGUGUAGCAGUGAAAUGCGUAGAUAUCGUGAGGAAGACCGGUGGCGAAGGCGAGUCUCUGGACAGAUCCUGACGCUGAGGCACGAAGGCUGGGGGAGCGAACAGGAUUAGAUACCCUGGUAGUCCCAGCAGUAAACGAUGUGAGCUUGAUGUGGGGGGAUUCGACCCCUUCCGUGUCGAAGCUAACGCGAUAAGCUCACCGCCUGAGGAGUACGGCCGCAAGGCUAAAACUCAAAGAAAUUGACGGGGACCCGCACAAGCGGUGGAGUAUGUGGCUUAAUUCGAUGCAACGCGAAGAACCUUACCUGGCCUUGACAUGCAUUGUGUCGUCGGUGAAAGCCGGCUAGUCCUGGAAACAGGACGCUUUGCACAGGUGCUGCAUGGCUGUCGUCAGCUCGUGUCGUGAGAUGUUGGGUUAAGUCCCGCAACGAGCGCAACCCUUGUGGUCAGUUACUAACCGGCUUAGCCGGAGGACUCUGGCCAGACUGCCCUGUCAAGCGGGGAGGAAGCUGGGGACGACGUCAAGUCAGUAUGGCCCUUAUGGCCAGGGCUGCACACGUACUACAAUGCCCGGUACAAUGUGAACCGAAACCGCGAGGUGGAGGAAAUCGCUCUUGAAAACCGGGCCCAGUUC
rnacentral:rRNA from 1 species